UACGUAGGGUGCAAGCGUUGUCCGGAGUUAUUGGGCGUAAAGCGCGCGCAGGCGGUCUAGCCAGUCUGGAGUGACAGUUCCCGGCUCACCUGGGAAAGGUCUUCGGAAACUGCUAGACUUGAGGGACUCAGAGGGAGACGGAAUUCCAGGUGGAGCGGUGAAAUGCGUAGAGAUCUGGAGGAACACCAAAGGCGAAGGCAGUCUCCUGGGAGUUACCUGACGCUCAGGCGCGAAAGCCAGGGGAGCGAACGGG
rnacentral:rRNA from 1 species